rnacentral:tRNA from 1 species
UAGUUCAGUUGGUUAGAAUACCGGCCUGUCACGCCGGGGGUCGCGGGUUCGAGUCC